rnacentral:rRNA from 1 species
ACUGACGCAGCGACGCCGCGUGCGGGAGGAAGCCCUUCGGGGUGUAAACCGCUGUCAGGGGGGACGAACCGCCGGGGUGGAAAUACUGCCUCGGUCUGGCGGUACCCUCAGAGGAAGCACCGGCUAACUCCGUGCCAGCAGCCGCGGUAAUACGGAGGGUGCGAGCGUUGUUCGGAAUUACUGGGCGUAAAGCGCGCGCAGGCGGAUGUGCAAGUCGGUGGUGAAAUCCUAGGGCUCAACCCUGGGACUGCUUCCGAUACUGCAUGUCUAGGGACCGGUAGAGGUCGGUGGAAUUCCCGGUGUAGCGGUGGAAUGCGUAGAUAUCGGGAAGAACACCUGUGGCGAAGGCGGCCGACUGGGCCGGAUCCGACGCUGAGGCGCGAAAGCGUGGGGAGCAAACAGGAUUAGAUACCCUGGUAGUCCACGCCGUAAACGAUGGGUGCUAGAUGUCGGGGGAGCGACCCCUUCGGUGUCACAGUUAACGCGUUAAGCACCCCGCCUGGGGAGUACGGCCGCAAGGCUG